UGCAGUGCAUACUGAUUCAGGUAGAUUUAGGUAAGCGCCCGUGCAGUGUAUACUGAUUCAGGUAGAUUUAGGUAAGCGCCCGUGCAGUGUAUACUGAUUCAGGUAGAUUUAGGUAAGCGCCCGUGCAGUGUAUACUGAUUCAGGUAGAUUUAGGUAAGCGCCCGUGCAGUGCAUACUGAUUCAGGUAGAUUUAGGUAAGCGCCCGUGCAGUGCAUACUGAUUCAGGUAGAUUUAGGUAAGCGCCCGUGCAGUGCAUACUGAUUCAGGUAGAUUUAGGUAAGCGCCCGUGCAGUGCAUACUGAUUCAGGUAGAUUUAGGUAAGCGCCCGUGCAGUGCAUACUGAUUCAGGUAGAUUUAGGUAAGCGCCCGUGCAGUGUAUACUGAUUCAGGUAGAUUUAGGUAAGCGCCCGUGCAGUGUAUACUGAUUCAGGUAGAUUUAGGUAAGCGCCCGUGCAGUGUAUACAGAUUCAGGUAGAUUUAGGUAAGCGCCCGUGCAGUGCAUACUGAUUCAGGUAGAUUUAGGUAAGCGCCCGUGCAGUGCAUACUGAUUCAGGUAGAUUUAGGUAAGCGCCCGUGCAGUGCAUACUGAUUCAGGUAGAUUUAGGUAAGCGCCCGUGCAGUGCAUACUGAUUCAGGUAGAUUUAGGUAAGCGCCCGUGCAGUGUAUACUGAGUCAGGUAGAUUUAGGUAAGCGCCCGUGCAGUGCAUACUGAUUCAGGUAGAUUUAGGUAAGCGCCCGUGCAGUGUAUACGGAGUCAGGUAGAUUUAGGUAAGUGCCCAUGCAGUGCAUACUGAUUCAGGUAGAUUUAGGUAAGCGCCCGUGCAGUGCAUACUGAUUCAGGUAGAUUUAGGUAAGCGCCCGUGCAGUGUAUACAGAUUCAGGUAGAUUUAGGUAAGCGCCCGUGCAGUGUAUACUGAUUCAGGUAGAUUUAGGUAACCGCCCGUGCAGUGCAUACUGAUUCAGGUAGAUUUAGGUAAGUGCCUGUGCAGUGUAUACUGAUUCAGGUAGAUUUAGGUAAGCGCCCGUGCAGUGUAUACAGAUUCAGGUAGAUUUAGGUAAGCGCCCGUGCAGUGUAUACUGAUUCAGGUAGAUUUAGGUAACCGCCCGUGCAGUGCAUACUGAUUCAGGUAGAUUUAGGUAAGUGCCCGUGCAGUGCAUACUGAUUCAGGUAGAUUUAGGUAAGUGCUCGUGCAGUGGGUAUUGACCCGGGUAGAUAUAGGUAAGUGUCUACUUAGGGUAUAUUACUGAGGUUAGAUUUAAUUAAGUGUCCAAGAGGUAUAUGUUGCCAGGGUAGAUUCUGGGAAGUGAUAAUGCAGGGAAUUGUUAAUUGAUUUAUGUUUUUCUUAUUUAUUGCUUUCAUUCUAGAUGUUAACAUUGCAAGAUGGUUUCUGAGAAAACACUGCAGAUUAGCCCUCAGUAAACGUGUGGGUAGUUGACAUACUGCUGGAGCCCUUGUUUAAUGCAGGAUU